rnacentral:rRNA from 1 species
AGAGUUUGAUUCUGGCUCAGGAUAAACGCUAGCGGCAGGCUUAACACAUGCAAGUCGGGGGGCAGCGAGGAGUAGCAAUACUCUGUCGGCGACCGGCGCAAGGGUGCGUAACGCGUGAGCAACUUGCCCUGGACAGGGGGAUAAGCAUUGGAAACGAUGUCUAAUACCCCAUAACAACAGACCUUACAUGGGGUUUGUUUGAAAGGUAUUUAUACCGGUUUAGGAUGGGCUCGCGUAACAUUAGUUAGUUGGUAGGGUAACGGCCUACCAAGACUACGAUGUUUAGGGGAACUGAGAGGUUGGUCCCCCACACUGGAACUGAGACACGGUCCAGACUCCUACGGGAGGCAGCAGUGAGGAAUAUUGGUCAAUGGCCGGAAGGCUGAACCAGCCAUGCCGCGUGAAGGAAUGAGGCCCUAUGGGUCGUAAACUUCUUUUGUAAGGGAGCAAUAAGGGUUAUGUAUAGCCCGAUGAGAGUACCUUAUGAAUAAGCAUCGGCUAACUCCGUGCCAGCAGCCGCGGUAAUACGGAGGAUGCGAGCGUUAUCCGGAUUUAUUGGGUUUAAAGGGUGCGUAGGCGGAGAAGUAAGUCAGCGGUGAUAAUGUGGAGGCUCAACCUCGGAACUGCCGUUGAUACUGCCUUUCUAGAAUGCGGAUGCCGUGGGAGGAAUGUGUGGUGUAGCGGUGAAAUGCAUAGAUAUCACACAGAACACCGAUUGAGAAGGCAUCUCAGGAAUCCGCAAUUGACGCUGAGGCACGAAAGCGCGGGGAUCGAACAGGAUUAGAUACCCUGGUAGUCCGCGCAGUAAACGAUGAUGACUAGCCGUCGGCGAUACAAUGUCGGUGGUCAAGCGAAAGCGAUAAGUCAUCCACCUGGGGAGUACGACCGCAAGGUUGAAACUCAAAGGAAUUGACGGGGGCCCGCACAAGCGGAGGAACAUGUGGUUUAAUUCGAUGAUACGCGAGGAACCUUACCCGGGCUCGAACGGCAGAUGAAAGUCUCAGAGAUGAGCUGUCCUUCGUGACAUCUGUCGAGGCGCUGCAUGGUUGUCGUCAGCUCGUGCCGUGAGGUGUCGGCUUAAGUGCCAUAACGAGCGCAACCCUUGCCGCCAGUUGCCAUCACGUAGUGGUGGGCACUCUGGUGGGACUGCCACCGCAAGGUGUGAGGAAGGGGGGGAUGACGUCAAAUCAGCACGGCCCUUACGUCCGGGGCGACACACGUGUUACAAUGGCGGCUACAGAGGGUUGCUACGCGGCGACGCGGUGCUAAUCUCAAAAAGCCGUCUCAGUUCGGACUGGAGUCUGCAACUCGACUCCACGAAGCUGGAUUCGCUAGUAAUCGCGCAUCAGCCAUGGCGCGGUGAAUACGUUCCCGGGCCUUGCACACACCGCCCGUCA